rnacentral:rRNA from 1 species
UGGGGAAUAUUGCACAAUGGGCGCAAGCCUGAUGCAGCGACGCCGCGUGCGGGAUGACGGCCUUCGGGUUGUAAACCGCUUUUGAUCGGGAGCAAGCCUUCGGGUGAGUGUACCUUUCGAAUAAGCACCGGCUAACUACGUG